rnacentral:rRNA from 1 species
UACGUAGGGGGCAAGCGUUGUCCGGAUUUAUUGGGCGUAAAGAGCGUGUAGGCGGCCUGAAAGGUCAGCUGUGAAAACUCGAGGCUCAACCUCGAGACGUCGGUUGAAACCAUCUGGCUAGAGUCCGGAAGAGGAGUGUGGAAUUCCCGGUGUAGCGGUGAAAUGCGCAGAUAUCGGGAGGAACACCUAUUGCGAAGGCAGCUCGCUGGGACGUCACUGACGCUGGAGACGCGAAAGCGUGGGGAGCGAACAGG